AAAUUCGGAAUUUGAGUAAGAUCCAGAACCAAGUACUAGUGCAGGAAAUACAAACGUGAGUUCGGGAUUCCAGCAGACUACAAUUUCGUCUACAUUCAAAAACAUUGCAUUAUACCAAGACGGUGGCUCUAAAAAUAUGAAGGUGACGGAUGCAGUAGUGAAAUUUAUUGUCCAGGACAAUUUUCCAUUCAGUACUGUGGAAAAAAGGGUUUUAAGGCCUUUAUGAAGCAUAUAGUACCUCUUUACAUAGUACCAACUAGAAAUACAAUAAAAAACAAUGUGGAUAAGAAGUUUGAGGUGAUUUCAACAGCUUUUAAAAAUAUCUUGAAGAAAUUUUUAUUCGAUUUGGUAACCAGUUUUAUUUGGGAAUUCCAAAGGAUUAAUUUU